CCGCCUCGGCCUCCCAAGGUGCUGGGAUUACAGGCGUGAGCCACCACAUCCAGCCCUCUUUUUAUUCUUUAUCUGCCUAAGUAGUUCUAUAUUUUUCUACUGAGAAAUAAUUAGGUUGUUUCUAAUUUUGAUACCGUAAGUAGAAUUCAAUAAACAUCUUUAUUAACACCUCUUUGUGAAUAUUUAUGAGAGUUUUCUAAGUGUAAAUGCUGAGCUGCUGGGUGGAAGAAAUGAUGCGCCAGCUUCAGCAGGGAUUGCCGAAUUGCUCUCUGGAAAGGCUGUGAAGUUUCUUCUGUGGCCCCUGUGCCGCUCUGUCUGUGCACACAGAGGUCUCUGCGUUCUUGAACACAGCGGAUGCGUGUGACUCGGCUGAUGACUCUGGGCUGGCGUUAUCCUUGUCAUUGCAUUACUCUGUCAUUAGGGCUAAUGACUUUUGAUCUGCUUUGCUUUUCUAUGUCGAUGACCAUCUCGCCUGUAAAUAACAAUUUCCUUUCUUGCUUUACAGUUCUCCUGAGUGUUAUUUUUCGUGUUACAUUCUCAGGUUAAACGUCCAGUGCAACAGCCAAGAGGACAGAGUAUUGCACCAAGCACACCUGGGGGAUGUUUCUGAUGACGUUUGGCUAGAGUGAGGCUCCUGGUAACCAAGCUUCUGGUGCCACUGGGACAUCUGUGCAAAAACGCUUGGCUACAGUGCACGUCGGCAGGCAGACUAUGGCAGCAGUACUGGAGACUCACUACCCCGGUGUCAUGGUUAAUGACGUCCCCACAGUGCUGAACAGAAAAGAUUUCAUACCCCACAUGUGAGGGGUGAAAUAUUGUAAAACCAAACCCCACCAAACAAACUGAAGCUCUCCAAGUGCACAGCUCGGCAAAAUUUACAUGCAUCACGCACAUCCUCAAGAACUUGAUGGUGAUGUGGGAGCAGCCUAAGAACAAAACCAUGACCAUUUACUACAUCUGGGCCAUGAGGACCCGGGAGCGCUGACCGUUUACUGCAUCCGGGCCACGAGGACCCAGGAGCGCUGACCGUUUACUGCAUCCGGGCCACGAGGACUAAGGAGCGCUGCCAACAAAGAGUGAUUCCCUGAGCAUGGACCCGACUUCCCCAUCUCACCUGGGAUGCGAAUGGUUCCAGACCCUGAGCACAUACCUGGAUGAGAAUGGUUUUUAUUUUGGAGAGAGGAGCAUUUUUAGGGCAGGGAGAACAGGCAAGUUAAUGAUUUCUAACACGGUAACAAAACUGAAACUUGGGAACAUGUUUAUCUUCUAAAAUUGAAAUUGCUGAAAAAUCAGCCAUAAGAAUGAGAUUAACCAUGAGCAAGGGUGAGAUACCAGGCAAGACAACACCAAGAGACGAGAAUAAUGUGUCAGAAAGAGAUGACUAGAAUAUAAUGAAAGGUCACCUGUCACUUCAAUUGAUUUGAACCUUCUUGAGCGAUAGACUUUUUCUGAAGAAUGAAAAUAGAAUAAUUUAGUAAACAUCCUUUACUGAGGCUCUAAUAUUCAAAAGGAACUGGAAUAGAAGCUAGAAAAUGCAAGGUCCUGCCCCUAAAGAAGCUGUAGGCAGACACCUUCCCACCUGGAGAAUAUUUGCUAAGCAGAAAACGGAAGAUGCUAUACAGAAAUGCACAUAUCUCAGUGUGAUUCAGUCAACAACUACCUGGCUUGUCAUCCAGUCAUUCCACAGUGUUGGAAUGUGUCAAUGACAAUAAAAAAAAUUUAGACACAUAGGAGCUAGGAAGCCACCUGACAAAGUCAGCUCUGGGAAAGCAGGGCUUUGCUUCACAGAUGUUGUUAACAGUCACUAGGGUUAGGGUGAGCAGCAACUUCAUUAAUGUCAACUGGCAGGGCCAUGACUGCAGGUGACUGGUUGCCCUGUGCUGUAAACACAGCCACAUGCAGAUAAAGCCACACUUCUGGUGUAAGCAGAGACAAACGGUAAGAAAUGUAUUAGGAUAAAUAAUGAUCUUGGCUAAGGGAGCAUUACUUCUUUCAUGCCAUUAUAGCUUAUUCCUCUUGAAUGUUCUGCACUUCUAUUACUCCAUCCCCAACUCUAAAAUGCUCCUUAAACCAACUGAAGAGUGAAAAUGCGCUGUUAUUUAGCAGUUAGAUAGUAACAACCUGGCUAGCCAAGCAAAGUCUUGAAGAUUAAAGUGCCCAUAAGUAACUUACAUCCCACCAAAGCAGAAAUCUGAACUCUAAGCUCCUUUUCUCAAGAUGUGUGGAAGGCAUUUGUAAGCCAGGAUGUCAUGUGUGUGUGGUGGGGGAGAAUUUUGGCCACCUGAUCUUCAUGCACUCUUGAACCUGCAAUCAUGAAUAGAAGAAAGCUGUACACCUUGGUAUUUACUUCUGAAAGGCGGAUCCCUGUUCUAGGGUUAGAAUUAGGAUUAGAAGAAGGCAUUUAGAAAAUGGAUGAAAAUAAAUGUAAAAGGUCCAGUAGAGAUUGAUGACGGAAUUCUCCAGAAUUUUGCAAUAAUAGCUAUUUAAAAAUAGACAAUAGUUUUGCUAAGAUAAAAGAAUUACCAAUUUAUAAUUCCACCUCUUCUACCAAUUAUGUCACAAUUAAUUUUAUUAUUGAAUCCAUAAUGUACAGUCAUCUGUGUUUUUAUGGGAGCUGUAACGUGUAUGUGUUCUGUGCUUCCAACUAGUUUUUCACUUCACAAUGUUGUGUAUACACUUUUCUGUCUUUCUACAGACGUAACAAUCACGCAUGUAACAGAAUGAGCCAGGCUACUCCAUGUACCGUAAUUUGUAUUGCCUUUCUUCUGUCGUUGGAAAUUCCUUUUCAGUUAGUUUUUUGCAAACUUAUUUUUUGCUCUGGACCCUUAGGAUUUUGACAGAGUAACAGGGAUAGUCUGGUAAUUUUCACUUAUUUAAAUAGAAAUUUCUAUUAUUUAAUUACUAGCAAAACUUUAUGUGCAAAAUAACUAGUCCAGGUGGUAGCGAUAGUUUAUAGUAUGUAGAUUAAAAAUAAUUUCGGCUUUUAUUUUAGAUUGAGAGGAUAUCUGUGCGGUUUGUUACAUGGGUAUAUUGCAUGAUGCUGAGGCUUGGAGUACAAUUCAACUUGUCACCCGGGAAGUGAGCAUAGUAACCAACGGUUAGUUUUUCAACCCUUGCUCCCUUCCUUCCCUCCGACAUCUAGUAGUCCCCAGUGUCUAUUAUUUCCAUCUUUAUAUCCAUGAGUACCUGAUGUAUAGCUCCCACUUAUAAAUGAGAAUCUGUGUUAUUUGGUUUUCUGUUCCUACAUUAAUUCACUUAGGAUAAUAGCCUCCAUCUGCAUCCAUGUGGCUGCAAAGAACAUGAUUUCUUCAUUUUUUUAGGGCUGUGUAGUAUUCUAUGGUAUAUAUGCACCACAUUUUCUUUAUCCAGUCCACCAUUGAUGGGCACCAAGGUUGACUCUAGGUCUUUGGUAUUGUGAAUUGUGCUGCAGUGCACGUAAGAGUGCAUGUAUCCUUUUGGUAGAAUUAUUUAUUUUCUUAUGCAUGUAUACUAAGCAAUGAGAUUGCUGGGUUAAAUGGCAGUUCCAUUCUUACUUCUUUGAGAAAUUUCCAGACUGCUUUCUACAGUGGCAGAACUAAUUUACAUUGCCACCAAUGGUGUAUAAGCCUUCCCUUUUCUCUGCCAGCAUCUUUUUUUUUUUCACUUUUUAAUAAUAGCCAUUCUGACUGAUGUGAGAUGGUAUCUUGUGGUUUUGAUUUGCAUUUUUUCUGAAGAUUACUGAUGUGGAGCAUUUUUUUCAUGUUAGUGUUGGCUGCUUGUAUGUCUUCUUUUAAGAAGUGUCUGUUUCUGUCGUUUUGCUACUUUUUAAUGAGGCUGGUUAUUUGCUUGUCAAUUUGUUACAUAGGGCCUAUAUAUGUGUAGGUCAUCUUUGGUGAGCUGCUUAUGUUUUUGUCAUUUAUUUAUUUGAAAAUAUCCUGUGAAUGUGAUUGUAAUUUGUGCUUUUAUGAACAUUAAAUGAUUUUGAUAUCUCCCUGUAACAAACUCUAGAAUC